UGUCAUUGGAAAAGUUUUAUUGAAAAAAAAAAUGUACAAAUAAGUUCUUGGAUUGAUAGCAACAAAGGCUCAUGUUCCCCCUUCCCUCCCUAUCUUUGAAGAACUAAAAAAGGAAGAAACAAAACAAAAAGUUCAUCCCCACAACGCCAGACACGAUGCUUCUUGACCAGAGUCUGCCCAGAAGCCCCUCCUGGGAGCUCCUUCUCAAUCCGCCUCACUGCGGCCAGGUCAUUCUGGGGGUGCCUGGUCCCAGGGGCUGCAGCACCUAGUUUUAUAGUUGGGAGAGGUUGGGAUAGAGCUGGGGAGGCAGCUGAGGUGUUUUAGUGUCAGAAGAGGGCUGGCUGACCCCCCUAGCUCAAUUUGGUCUCACAGGUGAGAAGGUACCUGGCUAUAAAUAUGAAUACUGAUUGAGGCAGGCUUGAUCUGGGACUUUCAGGGCAGGCAGAAUGACUAUGGCCCUAUAACUCGUCUCGCAUCUUGUCACCCUUAGGCCGGACCAGGCGCCCAAUGAAUAGCAGGGAGCCGCUUUGGGUGUCCCGCACUAGGAAGAUGAAGGGGUGGUCGGCGUAGAACAGCUUGGGGCUGCGCAGCUCCUCGCGCCCGUAGAUGUCCUGGUCAAAGGGGUUGCCAUCUGUGUCCAACU
rnacentral:lncRNA from 1 species